AGAGUUUGAUCAUGGCUCAGGACGAACGCUGGCGGCGUGCUUAACACAUGCAAGUCGAGCGGUAAGGCCCUUCGGGGUACACGAGCGGCGAACGGGUGAGUAACACGUGGGUGAUCUGCCUCGCACUCUGGGAUAAGCCUGGGAAACUGGGUCUAAUACCGGAUAUGACCACGGGAUGCAUGUCUUGUGGUGGAAAGAUU
rnacentral:rRNA from 1 species